CGAUAACGAACGAGACCUUAACCUGCUAAAUAGCCAGGCUGUUCUCCGAACGGUCGUCGGCUUCUUAGAGGGACUAUUGGCGUUUAGCCGAUGGAAGUUUGAGGCAAUAACAGGUCUGUGAUGCCCUUAGAUGUUCUGGGCCGCACGCGCGCUACACUGAUCAAGUCAACGAGUUUACAACCUUGGCUGAUAGGUCUGGGUAAUCUUGGAAAGUGCGUCGUGCUGGGGAUAGUCCAUUGCAAUUAUUGGACUUCAACGAGGAAUUCCUAGUAAGCGUGAGUCAUCAGCUCGCGUUGAUUACGUCCCUGCCCUUUGUACACACCGCCCGUCGCUACUACCGAUUGAAUGGCU
rnacentral:rRNA from 1 species